GUACUCGCUUUGGCAGCACAUAUACUAAAAUUGGAACGAUACAGAGAAGACUAGUAUGGCCCCUGCACAAGGAUGACAUGCAAAUUCGUGAAGCAUCCAUAAAAAAA
rnacentral:snRNA from 1 species